CAAACAUUAAAAGCCUGUUGGUACACCCAGCCUUUGUACUUUUUCUUUUUUUGCCUACAUUGCAAUACAUUACACUUUGAAUUUUACUCCCAAAGAUCCUUCUCUCCGAAACGAUGGUGGACAUUUGGGGAUAAGUAUUCUUCUGAAGAUGCAAAAUGGAUUGAUACAGCAACUCACGUUGGGCCUGGCCUUGCCUCCAUCAUGUUCCAGCUGAUCUUUCUUCUACAUCUGGAACAUUCGUAAGGUCUUCAUCUCCCAGACAGAUUCCACGAUGUCUAAAAAGCCAUAAAAAAGAGUAGCUACUGGAGGGCUUCAUCAACUACAUCAUGGCAACUGGCAUGCAGCAGGGCUCCUGACUGAACACCAAAUCCAUCUCUUCUGCCCUGCUAAAUAAAUAAAUAAAAGGAAAGACUAAACCUUUCA
rnacentral:lncRNA from 1 species